rnacentral:rRNA from 1 species
UACGAAGGGAGCUAGCGUUGUUCGGAAUCACUGGGCGUAAAGCGCACGUAGGCGGAUGUGUCAGUCAGGGGUGAAAUCCCGGAGCUCAACUUCGGAACUGCCCUUGAUACAGCACGUCUUGAGUCCGGAAGAGGUGAGUGGAAUUCCUAGUGUAGAGGUGAAAUUCGUAAGAUAUUAGGAAGAACACCAGUGGCGAAGGCGGCUCACUGGCCCGGUACUGACGGCUGAGGCGCGAAAGCGUGGGGAGCAAACAGG